CCGGAAUUAUUGGGCGUAAAGCGUCCGCAGGCGGCCCAGCAAGUCUGUUGUUAAAAAGUGGAGCUUAACUCCAUCCAGGCAAUGGAAACUGCUGGGCUAGAGUGUGGUAGGGGCAGAGGGAAUUCCCGGUGUAGCGGUGAAAUGCGUAGAUAUCGGGAAGAACACCAGUGGCGAAGGCGCUCUGCUGGGCCAUAACUGACGCUCAUGGACGAAAGCCAGGGGAGCGAAAGGGAUUAGAUACCCCUGUAGUCCUGGCCGUAAACGAUGAGUGCUAAGUGUUAGGGGGUUUCCGCCCCUUAGUGCUGCAGCUAACGCAUUAAGCACUCCGCCUGGGGAGUACGGUCGCAAGACUGAAACUCAAAGGAAUUGACGGGGGCCCGCACAAGCGGUAAUCGAA
rnacentral:rRNA from 1 species